GACGAACGCUGGCGGCGUGCUUAACACAUGCAAGUCGAACGGAAAGGCCUUUUCGGAGGUACUCGAGUGGCGAACGGGUGAGUAACACGUGGGUGAUCUGCCCUGCACUCUGGGAUAAGCCUGGGAAACUGGGUCUAAUACCGGAUAGGACCGCACUUUAGUGUGUGUGGUGGAAAGUUGUCUCGGUGUAGGAUGAGCCCGCGGCCUAUCAGCUUGUUGGUGGGGUAAUGGCCUACCAAGGCGGCGACGGGUAGCCGGACUGAGAGGUUGGUCGGCCACAUUGGGACUGAGAUACGGCCCAGACUCCUACGGGAGGCAGCAGUGGGGAAUAUUGCACAAUGGGCGCAAGCCUGAUGCAGCGGCGCCGCGUGGGGGAUGACGGCCUUCGGGUUGUAAACUCCUUUCGCCAGGGACGAAGCGUUUUGUGACGGUACCUGGAGAAGAAGCACCGGCUAACUACGUG
rnacentral:rRNA from 1 species